rnacentral:lncRNA from 1 species
AUUGUAAGUUUCCUGAGGCCUCCCCAACCAUGAGGAAAUGAGGACAAAACAGAGAAGAAAAAUACCACUCCCACUGCGAUGAAAGGCUUGUCUACUCAAUACUGCCUCUUACUAAUACAAAGAAGAUGUUCCUCUAGAGCUCAGGAGGAAUCUGUGAGUCAGAUUUCAACCCACACUCAUCCUCCCAGCCUGCAGCCAUUGGCAAUGCCCAAACCAAGCAGCCUUGGACAUGGACACAAGACAGGGCCUUGUGUUAAAGAAGAAAAAGAUGCAGAGGGCAGCUAUGUGUCAAACCACGAGAAUUGAGCCAGAAAGCACACAGCAACCCUGCCCAGGCAGGAAGACUCCUACCUCUGCAGAUUUUGGAGAAGCACAGGGGCAAGACCUGCUUUAUCCAAGAGGUCAAGCAGCCACUGAACUCAGCCAAGAGCCCACCCCCUGGCUCCACACAGACAGGGAGGCAAUCCUCAAUUGUGUAUUUUGAAGGAGCAUGGUCUCUGGUCCCACGUGGCUUGAGCAAUGACGCUGCGUAACUGCGGAGACCAGCCUGCAGCCUUGAUCCACUACAGAUCCUAAAUUGAAGAAUUACCUGGCCGGAAGAUGCAUCUUGUGACCACCUAAGCAGGAGUCAUUGGGGUACCCAGCCAGCCAACAUCAGAGCAAACCCAGGGGCUCAGCCAACUACUGAACUCACAACAAGUGCUGCGGACUGGUUGCUCACCAGCUGGCCCUUCCAGAACCACAGUUUGGACAGGGAGGAAUACUCUAUCACUGCCAAAGAACACCUGUAAAGGCCUGAGUUUACCUGUUUGUGACAUGGAAAGCUGCACAAGGACUUUGAGUAGGAGAAUGAAAAUGUAUUUGGAUUCUGGAAGUUAAAUCUAAUACCAAAGUGAGAAUAUUUUGCACACUUCUUGGGCUUUUUAAAAAUAUAUAUAUUUAUUUGAGGCCACAUAAUACAAAAGAGAAUGUACUUUAUUUCCAAAUGUUCUUUAAUCCAUUCUUUUUAUCUACAUAGUAAGGAAUUAGUAAAGAGGAAGACAAGAUGA